CAUCUUUUAGAGCUGGACUGCUUCUUCUGAGGGGGUGUUGUAUGGCUUGGGACCUCCUUCACCAGCCAGAUGAGUUUGACUUUUCUUUCUAUAUGUAGCUGUUGGUCCAUCUGUGAAUACUUUGGUGUUGCUAAGAGUCUGAUAGAAGUACUUUCAUUUCUUUGAUGUAUAUGUGUGGUUGGAAUCUCCCCUCUGGGAUGAGUCUGAUUGUGACUCCUCUUGCAGCUGAAGCUCAUCAAAAGGAUCCCUUGAUAUCAGGUGCCUAACAUCAAGAAAGCACGAUCCACCAACUCUGCAUCUUAAGCCUUUUCAAAAGGAGGAAGAGAUGACUGUAAAGCAGUUUGAGAGACAGAGGAUGGAAGGCAGGUCAGAGCAGGUCAUGGGUAAAAUCUGCAGACCAACUGAGACUGAGCAGAGGAGAGCCGGGGAAGCAAGAACAACCAACAGGAAAUGAAGCUACAACAAUAAACCUUAUCCUGAAAAAUG